rnacentral:rRNA from 1 species
AACGCUAGCUACAGGCUUAACACAUGCAAGUCGAGGGGCAUCAGGAAAUCAGCUUGCUGAUUUUGCUGGCGACCGGCGCACGGGUGAGUAACGCGUAUCCAAUCUACCCACUACUCGGGGAUAGCCUUUCGAAAGAACGAUUAAUACCCGAUGUUUUUGAUUAUUCGCAUGUUUGAUCAAAAAAAGAUUUAUUGGUAGUGGAUGAGGAUGCGUUCCAUUAGAUAGUAGGCGGGGUAACGGCCCACCUAGUCUUCGAUGGAUAGGGGUUCUGAGAGGAAGGUCCCCCACAUUGGAACUGAGACACGGUCCAAACUCCUACGGGAGGCAGCAGUGAGGAAUAUUGGUCAAUGGGCGAGAGCCUGAACCAGCCAAGUAGCGUGAAGGAUGACAGCCCUAUGGGUUUUAAACUUCUUUUAUAAGGGAAUAAAGUUUAGUACGUGUACUAUUUUGUAUGUACCUUAUGAAUAAGCAUCGGCUAAUUCCGUGCCAGCAGCCGCGGUAAUACGGAAGAUGCGAGCGUUAUCCGGAUUUAUUGGGUUUAAAGGGAGCGUAGGCGGGCGAAUAAGUCAGCGGUCAAAUGUCGGGGCUCAACCUCGGCCUGCCGUUGAUACUGUUUGCCUUGAGUGUGCACAAGGUAGGUGGAAUUUGUGGUGUAGCGGUGAAAUGCUUAGAUAUCACGAAGAACUCCGAUUG